GCAAACACAAGCAGCUAUGAUUUUUACGCCACAUACGGUACAGUCUGCUAUAAAUGUGUAUGGUAUUUGUCUACGUGCAAGUCAGUUGAUUCAAGGUGAUCAUUUCAUGUAACAAUGCUUAUGCUUACAAAAAGACGUGUGUAUUGUUUGAGUGGACCGCGGUGGCAACUUGGAAGUGGUUAGCGAACGACGAUAACUGCGGUAUCUGUCGAAUGCCUUUUGAUUCAUGCUGUCCAG